GAAUUUUGGACAAUGGGCGAAAGCCUGAACCAGCAAUGCCGCGUGGAGGAGGAAGGCCUUCGGGUUGUAAACUGCUUUUGUACGGAACGAAAAGCUGUGGGUUAAUACCCUGGAGUCAUGACGGUAACGUAAGAAGAAGCACCGGCUAACUCAGUGCCAGCAGCCGCGGUAAUAAGUAGGGUGCAAGCGUUAAUCGGAAUUAGUGGGCGUAAAGCGUGCGCAGGCGGUUUUGUAAGACAGAGGUGAAAUCCCCGGGCGCAACCUGGGAACUGCCUUUGUGACUGCAAUGCUAGAGUACGGCAGAGGGGGGUGGAAUUCCGCGUGUAGCAGUGAAAUGCGUAGAUAUGCGGAGGAACACCGAUGGCGAAGGCAACCCCCUGGGCCUGUACUGACGCUCAUGCACGAAAGCGUGGGGAGCAAACA
rnacentral:rRNA from 1 species